GGAGGGUGCCCAGGGCACAUCCCCUCCCGCCUGCUAUUAGUCCACAUGGACAUUGCAGACCGAUGAGCUCAUGCUGGGUGAAAACAGAAAUGUUUUUGAAGAAGCCAGUUUGGCAGCUUGAGAGUUGAGGCUGGCUUUCAUUGCGGGAAGAAUCCAGAGACUCCACGGAGAGAAACAGUGACCCUGGGAGGGAGUGCCCCCUCAGCCAGCUUCGGACUGGCCAACUGGAGAGGAAGGAGGGAGGGCGCAGGUCUCUCUGCGCGGACCCGCCUUCAGGGAAAUGCACCAGAAACCAGCACCUGAAAUGCAGAGUUUCUCCACCCUCCACCCCAAGACAGACCAGAGCAAUUUCAGAGUCCUGGCUGGCACUGUCCUCCACAAGGGUGUCCAUCCCCUGGACUACUCAUUCCAGACAUCAGAUCAAGAAAGAAAAGAACCAUUUUUCCAAAUCAGAGGCCAAAAAGGAGAUUUCCUCCCCUGCCAACUGGGCUUCAAGGUCUGGGGCAACUUCUUGGCCAAGAAGCUGAGUUGCAGGGGGCAGAAGUCUGACUUCAAAAUGAAAAGGAUGAAUCCAGGGGCGUGGACAUCUGCCGCCCGCCAGAGAGCCACACCUCAAAGGACCAGGCAGACCCAUCGCCACCCAAAACCAGCAUCCUAGAUCCUUUCACCCACAUCCUGAGGGGGACAGGCCCUCAGCGAGGCCAGCCGGUCCCACACCUGUCCCGAGUGCAUGUACUUACAGCCAGGAUGGCGCGGUCCCGCUCCAUGAGGUCCGCCAGCUGGUGCAGCAGCCGGCCCCGGCUCAGGGCAUCCAGCCGGCGCCAGGCCGAGCCCCUCUGGAAGGCGGCCUGCGCGGCCUCCACAGCCUUGUCCACGUCGGGCUGUACCACCAAAAACAGCAGAGAGCGCAUCACCCUUUGCCAAGGGCUCGCUGUCAGUUACAGAGAGAGGGGAGUCCUGCCGCAGAGGAAGGAGGGAUGGCGGGCAGGCUGAGAGCGGCAGCAGGGUUCAACGCACCUGAAUGGCUGGGGGCUUUCACUUAUAUCUUAAGUCUUUUUCAAGUUUUCUCAAUGGCCAAGGAUUACAUUUCCUUCUGAUUAUACAAGCAUUUUAAAAUAGUCAUGGGGUGGGGCGGGCAGGGUAUAUAGCUCAGUGGGACAGUGGGUGGUUAGCAUGAAUGAAGUCUUGGGUUUGACCCCCAGGACCUCCAUUAAAAAAUAAAUAAACUUAAUUACCUCCACCCCAAAUGAAAGAAAAAAAAGAAAAAGAAAUAAAAAAUAAAAGGAAAGUCCAGAGAUGGGGAAAAUUAGGGACUUUUUCCUGCCUUCAGCUUCACCUCCCCUCCCCACUGGGGGUAGAACUGUGGCACAUUUUUAUAGACAAGGAACUGGAUCUUCUGUGCCCUGGUAGAAUUACCAUCAAACCUUCGUACUAGGAAAGAAGUGAGAGCCAUUUAGAGUGAUGACACCCAUUUUUAUGUUCAGGAAAAUGGGGUUUGAGGCUCUGGUUGCUGAUGGACGGCAGCUCACCCCCCAGGCUCCUCUGAGCCUCUCUUCCUUAGCGGGGUACAGCCAGCAGUGGACACCUGAAACCAGUCAAGAGGGACACCCUACCAAGAUUCUGCAUUUCCAAAGCAUGCUUGGAAGUGAGUAAAAGCUUUUGCAAAGGAGAUAUUAGGACUUUGAAUUCCCUGUCCCAGGCUCUGAAGUGGAGGCCACGACCUCUCCAGCUGCAGGGACAGGGCAGCCUCUGCCUUCUGCUGCUCGGAGCUGUCACCCAGACCACAGGAAAAGCCGGAGCCCAGGGCAGGGACCUCGCUCUCCUCCCUGAUUCUUGGGAAUGAAUCCUACUCAGCAUCACACCACCCCUCCCCACGGCCUCACAUCUCCUCGUGAGCCCCUCCUCAGUGCUAGAGUCUUUGUAAACAGAGCUUCACAUGGGACGCUGCACAUGAGAGGGUCUGCAUCGCAGGAACCUCUGUGCACACCUGUCACAAAACUAUGGCUGGUGAGCAUAGCUGCCUUCCAAACCUAUGGCUGGUGGAAUCAAGGUCAAGCCUAUUUCAUACAUGUGUCCUUCACCCUGUUCAUGUCCAACAUGACCUACACACUUAAGAAUGUCAGAUGGGGCCUGAAGAGGGGACAGAGUCAUAUGUCCAGCCAGGAGCACGCUCAGAAUUAGAAUCUAAGUCUCUUGACUUUUAAGACAUUUUCAGAGAAUUACAUUUUGUCAUAAUAAAACUAAAGCAAU